UACGUAGGGGGCAAGCGUUGUCCGGAUUUAUUGGGCGUAAAGAGCGUGUAGGCGGUCAGGUAGGUCCGUUGUGAAAACUCGAGGCUCAACCUCGAGACGCCGAUGGAAACCAUCUGACUAGAGUCCGGAAGAGGAGAGUGGAAUUCCUGGUGUAGCGGUGAAAUGCGCAGAUAUCAGGAGGAACACCGGUGGCGAAGGCGGCCAUCUGGACGGUGACUGACGCUGAGGCGCGAAAGCGUGGGGAGCGAACAGG
rnacentral:rRNA from 1 species